rnacentral:miRNA from 14 species
GCUGGUUUCUUGUGGUGACUUAGA